UCCAGUUGCAUUCAUGGAGCCCUGCAGGAACAGAAGCAGAUGAUAACCUGAUGACAACACGUCGAGGACUGUUUCCUGCAUUUGAAGAUGUCAGCCUCUCAAGAACAGCAGGUAGAAAAAACUAAAACCUGUGCCAACCCUGGAAACCCAGUUUUCUCCUGCAUGAUGAGACCAGUAGAUAAAGAUGGACCGCCUGCGCUGGGGGUGAAACCCCAGAAUCCAUUGUACAGGACCACAUCCAGUGACUAUGGUCUUCACUCUCCAUCGUUUGAGAGCUCACCAUGUGCCUACCACCCUAAGUCACAAAGAUUUUCUGAACACCUGGGCCAGAGUGGAAUGUAUAAAGACAACUCCUUUAACACAGCCUUAGACCGAAGCAAGGUGUGUGACAAUCCCAAUCUAAGACACACACUCUGAGUUCCACUUUGUGUCAAACUUCAGAGACGUUCUCAGGUUUUCAUUCUUGUGAAACAGAAAUUUAGAGAUGAGUAAAAUAUGUGUUGAAAAUACCCGUGCAAAAACUUUGAUGAUUACCUGAGAUCUUGUUAUCACAGCAUCAGGUCCAAUGAGCUUAAUGCCUCUUUUAAAGCUGACAGUAUUAGUAAUGUUAAUGUUUGUUCUGUGACUUGAGGAGAAAAAUAAAAACAGCUGUUCUUUGUUUUUUAGUCAUUAACAUGCUAAACCUUUUUGACAUCAGACAGAGACAUUCUAAAACAUAUAUUUAACCACAUAUUUAAAUGGAAAGCCAUCUGGAACAUGGACCUGGAUCCCUACUGCAUGGAGUCACCAAGUCGAGCUUUAAAUUUCCCUCUUAAUCCUCCCUCACAAAAAAGAAUGUAACUGUGAGAACUUUUCUUCUGAGAGAUUUCUGUGAUGACUGUCAGUUGAUUCAUAAACUCGUUGAAAAGUUAGA